rnacentral:rRNA from 1 species
UAACGCGUGGGUAACCCGCCUCAUACAGGGGGAUAACAGUUAGAAAUGACUGCUAAUACCGCAUAAGCGCACAGUACCACAUGGUACGGUGUGAAAAACUCCGGUGGUAUGAGAUGGACCCGCGUCUGAUUAGCUAGUUGGUGAGGUAACGGCUCACCAAGGCGACGAUCAGUAGCCGACCUGAGAGGGUGAUCGGCCACAUUGGGACUGAGACACGGCCCAG